GCUAGUAAUCGUAGGUCAGCAUACUACGGUGAAUACGUUCCCGGGCCUUGUACACACCGCCCGUCAAGCCAUGAGAGUUGGCAACACCCGAAGUCGGUAGUCUAACCGCAGGGAGGACGCCGCCGAAGGUGGGGUUGAUGAUUAGGGUUAAGUCGUAACAAGGUACC
rnacentral:rRNA from 1 species